rnacentral:antisense_RNA from 1 species
GUCUAUGGCGGCUGUGCGUGGGAGCCCUUCGGGGCUGCCGGGUUCCAAGUCUCCCGGUUCGCCAACCUGCGUACAGCCGCCCCCAUC